rnacentral:tRNA from 4 species
GGAGAGUUGCCAGAGCGGACGAAUGGGACGGUCUCGAAAACCGUUGAGGUGCAAGCCUCCGGGGGUUCGAAUCCCCCACUCUCCGCCA